rnacentral:rRNA from 1 species
AGAACGAACGCUGGCGGCAGGCUUAACACAUGCAAGUCGAGCGCUGUAGCAAUACAGAGCGGCGCACGGGUGAGUAACACGUGGGAACAUGCCUUUCGGUUCGGAAUAACUCAGGGAAACUUGUGCUAAUACCGGAUACGCCCUUACGGGGAAAGAUUUAUUGCCGAAAGAGUGGCCCGCGUUGGAUUAGCUAGUUGGCGGGGUAAAAGCCCACCAAGGCGACGAUCCAUAGCUGGUCUGAGAGGACGACCAGCCACACUGGGACUGAGACACGGCCCAGACUCCUACGGGAGGCAGCAGUGGGGAAUCUUGGACAAUGGGGGAAACCCUGAUCCAGCCAUGCCGCGUGAGUGAUGAAGGCCCUAGGGUUGUAAAACUCGUUUCGGCGGGGACGAGUAAUGACGGUACCGCAGAAGAGCUCCGGCUAACUUCGUGCCAGCAGCCGC